CUGAGCCAAAACCAAGAGUCGGACACUUAACUGACUGAGCCACCCAGGCAUCCUGGAGAUCCAAGAGCUUCCAAGCUUUGAAGAUAAAAGAACAAGCUGUUUCACAGCUCAGAACUUUCCAUGAUGUGUCGUCGAGACAGGAAGUGAAUUUGCAAUCCUUGACGUGUCCCGAGGAGAUCAUUCAAGACCAAGGCAUCCGAUUCCAAAGCGGCAAGCAACCUUUAAUUCCCGGCACCGUGAAGCACUCUCGCUGCUCUGUGGUUCUCAAAGGUGGAAGUGAGCACACGCCAGUGUGGCUUGGGUCACUCACGCUGCCACCUGGGACAGCCCCAGGGAGCCCGCAGCUGAGAAGUCAGACUGUGCCCCGCAUCCAGACACCCUAAAGGGGAAGGACAGCGUUGGUUUGAAAAUGGGUCACGGACUCAGCACAUGUUCCGGCCCUGCUAUGAAGAGGCACCGUGCAAGCCAUUGGAAUCGCAGCUGCUGUCCUCCAGGAUGGGGAAGAGAGGCAGACAGAUAAAUGAGCGUGUUUACCCCCAGAGUUGAAGCAUAAGGAGCAGAAGCACAGGAGGGACACCUAGCCCAGUCAGGAGAGGUCCAGGGAAAUGGCGUGGGGAACGUGGGUGACCUGAUCGAGGACCAGCUGGGGCACUGGUGUUAGUGGGAGGAAGGGGAGGAGGCGAGGAGCGAGGCCGGAGCUGUAGGAGCUGCAAGUAGCAGGACCUGGAGGCGAGAGAGGGUGGGUGUUGGCAACAGAAACGACAGGAAAGGCGAGGCGGGGCGGUGGCUACAACGUGCGGGAGAAAGCGGAUGGGGUUGCCAGGGGCCAGACGCCGAAGGCCUUCCUGCCCUGUUGAGGGCUUUGGACUCUGUCCGGUGGGCUUUAGGGCAGGCGGCCUCUGAAAUAGAGUGAAAUGUAGUGUGGUAAUGCUGGAGGUCAGAUUCUGGAUCCUUCUCGCCAGGGCUGGCUGUUUUGUUUAAUACCCUUUCUGAACGAUUUCCGUGAAGUCUGUAAUCUUUGUCAUGUUUCACCACUGAACCCUCUGCUCAUUUGGCUCCGGGGUCCAUUACUGAAUGGACAGAGACUUCCUUAAAUUCCUGUGACCCAUACAUGUCCCCGUCAUGUGCCCGUGGUGGGGCACAUCUUUGAUACUCAGCCGGAAAGCGGCCAACCGUGCCUUCUUAGCUCUCACUUCGUGCUUGUGCCCAGCCUCAGGGUCAGCCGGGGGUGAGAGCUCCGCACUCUGGGUGCGCUCACUGAAGUUCAUGAGACGCCGAGAAGGCAGGAGGUCUGACAUUAAUUUUGAAAAAGAUUUCCACCAAAAAACCCUGUUAAACUUGACAUAAAUAAAUGUGUGAGGUUUAAACAGGCGAGCCUCAGGUUUUGGUAAGACGAAUUCAGGUGGAGCGGCCCUUGCCCAGGGACGCAGGACAAAUGAGACUCCACGACACAUUUGGUCAGGAUGAAGAGAGCUGGAACGUGCGGGAGGAACCAGGACCGACUCCUUCCAGUCCUCCCAACCCUGGGCCAACGGCCAUCCACCACUCCUUGCUCUCCCCAGGCCGAAAACGCACAUGGGUUGCUAGCGAGAGUUCACCUUCCCCACUUGUAUUAAGCUUCCCUUUCUAGGGAGCUUGCCGGUCUGCCCAGGAAAACACACUUCAUGUCAGCAUUUCCAACGUAAACGAAAGCUCUUUGCUCCUCCCGCCCUUCCUGAGGACCGGCCCCCCACUCUCCCUCCUCUUCCUCACGGGAGCCACCUUCCCAUCCUUCUCAUCCGGUUGCCACAUACGCUUGGCUCACGCACCCCGUCUCUUCUCCGUCGCAUCUCCUUGCUGCAAUCUGUGGUUACAGUUUUUAAAGGCUUAAUAAACAGAUGUGUUUUUCUAUCCCCGAGGAAGGAAAUGAAGAUUGUCACUUGGCGUUGU